UUUCGUGACAACAUCUACGCAGUUGUUGUUAUUUGUCCAAUAUCAUGCAGAUCUUAUCCCCGAUGAUGCUGUUUUUGAUGAUGAACCUUUCGAUCAUUUUAUUGGAGUAUUUGAGUUGAAGCAGGGGAACGCACCCGGAUGGUAUAAGAUCGAAAGCAUUCAUUGCAAUAAAUUGUACAUGGCAAUGGAGCUAUUUUCGACCUACCUUCUUUUCGGUUGGGCUAUUCCUGGACGCAGAGGAGAUUGCAUUUUCUAUAGCAGUGCUUCUGGCUUUUCAUAUAGACAGCUGAAGAGCGAUUUCAUGAAAUAGAUGCUUUCGACUUCGAGAUCGGCUACGAUGAUCAUAUAAUUCGUAGCUGGUGUAACUCAACGUCGAAUGAGCAGCUGGCUCCUUUUUGGAUCGAGCUCAAUCUCUGCAAAAUGUUGGAAUAGAGUCCAGUUCAGGGCCUGCAAAAGCUUGAACCUAGGUGUAGCAGACAAGUCAAGCUUGAAUCUGGGAAGAGGCAACCUUUGCUGAAGUAGCACAAAUGCAUAUAUUUGUUGCAGUUCUAGAAUGUUUUUGUUUUUUUUUUUCCACUUUUUUUUCUAGUUCUUUUACUAGUUGAGAAUGUCCUCUCCCUGAAUGAAAGUCCGCUUUUUGGCUGCUCGAA